rnacentral:misc_RNA from 1 species
GAUAAAAGAAACUGUACACUACCAGUAUUGAUUUUGUGUACGGUUAAAUUCAAUUUUUCCUCCCUUUUUCUGAUCUCUUUCAAAUGCAAUGGAGUGAUGAUUUUUUUCCAGCGACAUUAAGGAAGCUGGCGUUUGAAAGAUAAAUUCUCUGUUGAAUUUUAGUAAAAAUUUAUCUAAUGGAAGUCUAAAAUUUCCAACUUGCUUCUUCUUUUGUACCUUUUCUUUCAUACAUUUUCAGAAAAAAAAAAAAAA